rnacentral:rRNA from 1 species
UCAGCAGCCGCGGUAAUACGUAGGGGGCGAGCGUUGUCCGAAUUUACUGGGCGUAAAGCGCGUGUAGGCGGCUCUUUAAGUCAGAUGUGAAAUCCUGCGGCUCAACCGCAGAACUGCAUUUGAAACUGGAGGGCUUGAAUUUGGGAGAGGAAAGUGGAAUUCCUGGUGUAGCGGUGAAAUGCGUAGAUAUCAGGAGGAACACCCGUGGCGAAGGCGGCUUUCUGGCCCAACAUUGACGCUGAGACGCGAAAGCUAGGGUAGCGAACGGGAUUAGAUACCCCGGUAGUCCUAGCCGUAAACGAUGGAUACUAGGUGUUAGUGGUAUCGACCCCACUAGUGCCGUAGCUAACGCAUUAAGUAUCCCGCCUGGGGAGUACGGCCGCAAGGUUGAAACUCAAAGGAAUUGACGGGGGCCCGCACAAGU